rnacentral:tmRNA from 1 species
GGGGCCGACCUGGCUUCGACGUGGGUUGCAAAGCAGACAGGUGCAUACCGAGGACCAGUUCCCUCGUAAAUCUACUGGAACUAAAUAGUCGCCAACGACGAAACUUACGCUCUGGCCGCCUAAUGGCCGGACUCCUCACCGGCAGGCCCGUGGGCCGGGCUGGGCAACCAGCUGAGGAGUCAUUCACACGGGAUCGCGUCGGAUCGGGCCGCUUGGUCCGGCGUUAAAUCUAGGCGGCUCGCCUGAACCCAGCCUGUCCGGCCGGCGGGGAACGGGUUAAAGCCAAACGACCGGACUAAGUAUGUAGAUCUUGCUGUAGAGGGCUUGCGGACGGGGGUUCGAUUCCCCCCGGCUCCACCA